GACGAACGCUGGCGGCGUGCUUAACACAUGCAAGUCGAACGGUAAGGCCCUUCGGGGUACACGAGUGGCGAACGGGUGAGUAACACGUGGGUGAUCUGCCCUGCACUUCGGGAUAAGCCUGGUGAACUGGGUCUAAUACCGGAUAUGACCACUGCCUACAUGGGUGGUGGUGGAAAGCGUUUGCGGUGUGGGAUGGGCCCGCGGCCUAUGAGCUUGUUGGUGGGGUGAUGGGCUACCAAGGCGACGACGGGUAGCCGGCCUGAGAGGGUGACCGGCCACACUGGGACUGAGAUACGGCCCAGACUCCUACGGGAGGCAGCAGUGGGGAAUAUUGCACAAUGGGCGCAAGCCUGAUGCAGCGACGCCGCGUGAGGGAUGACGGCCUUCGGGUUGUAAACCUCUUUCAGCACCGACGAAGCGCAAGUGACGGUAGGUGCAGAAGAAGGACCGGCCAACUACGUGCCAGCCGCCGCAGUAACAC
rnacentral:rRNA from 1 species